rnacentral:rRNA from 1 species
GAUGAACGCUGGCGGCGUGCCUAAUACAUGCAAGUCGAGCGAACAGACGAGGAGCUUGCUCCUCUGCCGUUAGCGGCGGACGGGUGAGUAACACGUGGAUAACCUACCUAUAAGACUGGGAUAACUUCGGGAAACCGGAGCUAAUACCGGAUAAUAUAUUGAACCGCAGGGUUCAAUAGUGAAAGACGGUUUUGCUGUCACUUAUAGAUGGAUCCGCGCCGGAUUAGCUAGUUGGUAAGGUAACGGCUUACCAAGGCAACGAUGCGUAGCUGAUCUGAGAGGGUGAUCGGCCACACUGGAACUGAGACACGGUCCAGACUCCUACGGGAGGCAGCAGUAGGGAAUCUUGCGCAAUGGGCGCAAGCCUGACGCAGCAACGCCGCGUGAGUGAUGAAGGUCUUCGGAUUGUAAAGCUCUGUUGUUAGGGAAGAACAACUGCAGAAGAAACUACGGCUGUUCUGACGGUACCUAAUGAGUAAGCACCGGCUAACUACGUG